GACGAACGCUGGCGGCGCGCCUAACACAUGCAAGUCGAGCGGAGAAUAUAAGCAAUUAUAUUUUUAGCGGCGGACGGGUGAGUAACGCGUGGGCAAUCUACCUUUCAGAGGGGGAUAACACAGGGAAAUCUGUGCUAAUACCGCAUGAGACCACACAGUAGCAUUACUGAGUGAUCAAAGGAGCAAUCCGCUGAGAGAUGAGCCCGCGUCUGAUUAGCUAGUUGGUGGGGUAAUGGCCCACCAAGGCGACGAUCAGUAGCCGAACUGAGAGGUUGAUCGGCCACAUUGGGACUGAGACACGGCCCAGACUCCUACGGGAGGCAGCAGUGGGGAAUAUUGCGCAAUGGGGGAAACCCUGACGCAGCGACGCCGCGUGGAGGAUGAAGGUCUUCGGAUUGUAAACUCUUGUCGACAGGGACGAGUGAGGACGGUACCUGUGGAGGAAGCCCCGGCUAACUACGUG
rnacentral:rRNA from 1 species